GACGAACGCUGGCGGCGUGCUUAACACAUGCAAGUCGAACGGAAAGGCCCUGCUUUUGUGGGGUGCUCGAGUGGCGAACGGGUGAGUAACACGUGAGUAACCUGCCCUUGACUUUGGGAUAACUUCAGGAAACUGGGGCUAAUACCGGAUAGGAGCUCCUGCUGCAUGGUGGGGGUUGGAAAGUUUCGGCGGUUGGGGAUGGACUCGCGGCUUAUCAGCUUGUUGGUGGGGUUGUGGCUUACCAAGGCUUUGACGGGUAGCCGGCCUGAGAGGGUGACCGGCCACAUUGGGACUGAGAUACGGCCCAGACUCCUACGGGAGGCAGCAGGGGGGAAUAUUGCACAAUGGGCGGAAGCCUGAUGCAGCAACGCCGCGUGCGGGAUGACGGCCUUCGGGUUGUAAACCGCUUUCGCCUGUGACGAAGCGUGAGUGACGGUAAUGGGUAAAGAAGCACCGGCUAACUACGUG
rnacentral:rRNA from 1 species